UAGGGAAUCUUCGGCAAUGGGGGCAACCCUGACCGAGCAACGCCGCGUGAGUGAAGAAGGUUUUCGGAUCGUAAAGCUCUGUGGUAAGAGAAGAACGUGUGUGAGAGUGGAAAGUUCACACAGUGACGGUAACUUACCAGAAAGGGACGGCUAACUACGUGCCAGCAGCCGCGGUAAUACGUAGGUCCCGAGCGUUGUCCGGUUUUAUUGGGUGUAAAGCGAGCGCAGGCGGUCUAAUAAGUCUGAAGUUAAAGGCAGUGGCUUACCCAUUGUUCGCUUUGGAAACUGUUAAACUUGAGUUCAGUAGGGUAGAGUGGAAUUCCAUGUGUAGCGGUGAAAUGCGUAGAUAUAUGGAGGAACACCGGUGGCGAAAGCGGCUCUCUGGUCUGUAACUGACGCUGAGGCUCGAAAGCGUGGGGAGCAAACAGG
rnacentral:rRNA from 1 species